AUGAGCACUCAGUGUUAUGCUAUAUGGUGGCAAAUUGAACUCCAAUAAAAAAAUAUACCAAAAAAAAAAAAAGAAAUGCCCUUCCUCCCACUUGGGCAGCCCAGGUGCCAGUGGUCCCAAUAACCACCUGCUUUUGCCCUGGGAGACCCUGAGCGAGGGUGGUGGGCAUGAGGAAGCCUUACCUGUAGAUGGCCGAGCUGGGGUAGCUGCCCGGGUCAUAGCUGACACGCACGUGACCCUGGUACAGCUCCACUGCCAUGUGGUCAUUGUCUCCAUUGUACAGCAAGAUCCCAUUGUCCUCUGCCGUGGAGACCUGAUGGGCAAGGACACAUUUUCUCCCACCACACUCCACCCCACCCAGCGAUGGCACAGGUAGGUGGGGGACCCACAUUUGGAAGAGGAAUGCUGUGUGCAGAGCUGUCCUCCCCUGGCUAUGUAGCCUGCCCAGGGGACAUAUCCUCCAGGGGAUGCUGACAGAGGCUAGUAGCCCCUGGUUCACAUCCCAUCCACUGCCAGGUUGGCUGGGGCUGCAGAGAGAAGGCAGAUGGACGAGCCCAGUCCUGGUAACCACUUGCUAGGAGGAGCAGGUAAGAGACCUUAGGGCGACCUGUUCAGAAAGUCCAAUGGGUGUGGGGUAGCCUGUUCUGCGGGCCUCUGGAGCCACUGAGAGGACAAGUUAAGGAAGGCUGUCUAACAGCCGUGACCACCCAAACCUGAAAAGAGCCACUCAGGAGGUAGUGCCUGUCUCUGGAGCUGUGCAAGCAAAAGCUGGAGCUACCUUAGGAGGGAGAUCACUCUACAAUGCUGUAGGAACCAUGAUCCUUCCUUGUUCCUCUUCUGUUUCUUCUGGUAAAGAACCUGACUCCCUGGUCUCCUAGGGCUGGCACAUGGCCCAGGGAGGAUGCAUCAUAGCACCCCAUCUCGCUGGACUCAGUGGCUGGGCCAGGGAUGGGCACGUGGCUGAAGGGAGGCCAAUCCAAGAUCUUCCCUGAAGUUGUGAUUGCUGUCCAACCAGCUGGCAGGGCAGAGCCUGUGACAGGGACAGUGGGGCUGACCUCACCUCUUUAAGGAGGUGCCUGAGGCAGUGGCUGGGAGGGUUUGGGUGAAUGUUACUUUGUUAAGCAGUUAGGCUAGCUGUAUUCUUGCAGUGUAGACAGUGUGGAUGGGCAAGAUGAAGUGGGGGGGGGGGCAUGGUAAGCAUGUUGGGAGGCUGAGGGGCUCUGUGAGAGAAGGAGGAGAAAGAUGCGACUGCUGGGGUAGGGAAUGCAGUUGGAGGAAGAGAGCCAAAGAGGAGAUGCAGACUUUGAUCAUUUUCCAUGUGAUGUGCACCACCCCCAUCCCUCCAGGUAAACAUUGCCAUCCAAGUGCGAUGUGCCUUUGCCCUCAACAAACCAAUGCUCUGAGACGAAAUUCAAGACAUGAAAUGGCAAAAUAAGGGCCCCAAAAUAAGGGCCAGGAGGCUAAAGAUACAAGGCCAGAGCUGAAGCCCAGAGCCAACUCCGGCCAUGUCCCAGGCCAUAGAGAAGUGUGUGUGCAGCACUGGAGGCUGGAGCUGAGGAGCAGAAAACAGACACAAACAAGAAAGAGAAGACUCAAAUGACUAAAGAAAUAAAAGAGGGGACAUUACUACCAGCAGGGAGUUCUGACACAGCCACACCCAUAGCACCAGUCUUCACAGCAGCCAAGAGUGGAAACAGCUCAAAUGUCUCUCAGUGGAUGGAUACACAGAUGUGGUCCAUACAAUGGAAUAAUAUUCAACCACAAAAAAGAAUGAAGUUCUGAUGUAUGCUGCCACAUGGAUGAACCCCAAAAACAUGAUGCCAAUGUACCGAAUACCUGCCGAGUUCCAAGCACAGCUGAGUCCUUACAUCUUCCCUCCAAGGCGGAAGCUGAGAGAACCGGCGCUACACAGCAGCUGUCUGCGCACUUUUGGUGCUAUCAGGGACUCUUCCUGGCGCAGUGUGAGGGAUGAGGGGCAGUCCUGCUUUCUCCCACCACCUGAGGUCCAGCCCCUCUGAGCAGCGGGCUACCUCUUGAUCUGCCACUGCUCCUUGGUCGGCUGUGCCAACUCCACCCCAGCAGCUCACCCACAAGCAUGGCAGCUGUGCAGCUUUUGGAUGGAGACUUCCAUGUACCUCUCGAUCUCAGUAACCCCUGUCUCUUCCUGCCAUUGUCCUUGGGUGGCCCCUGCUGGACCGUGGGCUCCCUGAGAGGCUCCACUCCCCACUCUGGCCUGAGUGGCUGGGGUUGGGUCCCUCAGCCUCAGGCCUCAACCCUGACCACCUGUCCUGACCAGUGGAACAAGGGUCCCAGAAAUGUUUACAAAGCUGCAGAUGGAAACAUUUAAAAAACCCACGAUCUUCAUGUAGUUUUCAGGUGACAGCGCACUUCUAUAUAUUCUAACAAUGAUGGUGACAAUUGUCAAUGACCCCUUAUCCAAACCUCCUGGGGCUAGAUAGGUUUUGAAAUUCAGAAGAUUUUGGAUUUUGGAAAGGCUAUUUGUAACAAUGCCUAAAGCAUUAUGUAACACAUCAAUGGGAUCUGGGGCAGCCCCUUAAUUAAACAUGUUCAUAUUUCUGCAGCAAAAUCUAUACACGUUCACACUACAUGGCAAGAAUAGUGACUAUACAUAACCUCAUAUCGGUAGGGGUCAGGUUUUAUUACCAAAUAUGUUCAAGUCAAACCAGGUUUUGCUACCAAAUGGGCUUCUGGUUUUCAGAGUUUUGUGCAUUUUGUAACUGGGGAGGAGAAACUGUGGAUCUGGAAAGAUAAUAGCCCCUUUAUGGAGCACUUAUCAGAUGUCAGACUUGGAGCAGAGUACAUUUGUUCAUCUGACCCUUAUACCUACUCCAGGAGGGAGCUAUGGGGUGCCCACUUUGCAGAUGAGAAGACAGGCUCAGAGGGGUCAAGGCAUCCACUCAGGGUCAUACUGUAAACCCAGGUCUAGUUGACCAAAGCUAUACCCACUACUGCCCUAUCCCCACCCAGACUUGCAGGAACCUGUAUAGCCAAGACCAAACCCACUUUUGACAAGUAAGGAAAUAGGAGGGGAGGGGAGUGACUUCAAGGCCCAUGCCCUUGUCUGGCCCUGAAAACAGGCAACACUGACCUGGGCCCAUCUGGAGUACCCACACACUGGGCCUCGUGCUGACACGGGUUCAAAUCUGAGGAGCAGAAGUCCACCAGCUGCUCACAGCCCCUUCCUGGGGAAAGAAUGAGGAAGGAGAGAAGCUGCCCCCAGACUCUGCCAGGUAGCUGGGCUAGCAGAAACCCCUGCAGACGCUGAGUGGGGGCCUCAGCCCUUCUGCCCACAAGACAGGGGCUCAGGGCCUGUGCACCCCCGCCCCGCCCCACUUACCCGUGUACUGUAGGGGGCACUGGCAGGUGUAGUUGCCCACACCAUCCACACAGAUACCCCCAUUGGCGCAUGUGUGCUCCACACAGUCAUCCGUAUUCACCUCACAGGUUGGGCCUUCAAAGCCGGGGGGACAGGAACA